rnacentral:rRNA from 1 species
UACGAAGGGGGCUAGCGUUGCUCGGAAUUACUGGGCGUAAAGGGAGCGUAGGCGGACAUUUAAGUCAGGGGUGAAAUCCCGAGGCUCAACCUCGGAACUGCCUUUGAUACUGGGUGUCUUGAGUGUGAGAGAGGUGAGUGGAACUCCGAGUGUAGAGGUGAAAUUCGUAGAUAUUCGGAAGAACACCAGUGGCGAAGGCGACAUACUGGCUCAUUACUGACGCUGAGGCUCGAAAGCGUGGGGAGCAAACAGG